AACACCUAAAGGCAAAAUCACUGAAAGGUGAUGACGCAAAGCUAUAGGGGCCUCCGCUUAUUAGCAAGGCUAGCCAGUUACCAUC
rnacentral:ncRNA from 1 species